rnacentral:lncRNA from 1 species
GACUAGAUGUCCACUAAAGAUUUGCUGCACACAGAUGGAGAAUGGAAGUCCAGAGUGUGUUGGCCUUUGUGGAAGACCCCACUGGACAUCCUCCAGCUGAGGUGUCCUCCCCAAACCACCAUCAGGGGUUCAACUUCUUCUAUCUCACAAUUGGGGUGGACAUUAGGUUCCAAUAGAUCCCAACAAGUGGGGACCUCCAUGGACCAUCCAUUCCUCACCAGAGAAAAAGAUGGCGGCCAAAAGGUUGCAGAUCAUGCAAGACAGGAUGGAGCCCUCCAAAUCUGGACUGAAUCGAGGGAGACCUUCAAUGGAAUGGACAGAGAUGGUCCAAAUCACCUCUUGGGGAUCUGUUUUGGUUCCAUAUGCAACAUAAAAAAAAUCCCCUGGGGUUUUGUUUGAUUCCAGUGACUUAGACUCAUUAUGCAUCUCUGGAACCGAGUGAGCAGCUCACUGAUUUUUUUAUGUGCUCAGAUAUAUUUUGUAGAGUAUUGGAAACAAGAAGAGGUGGUGCCUCCCAGUUAUAUCCAUACCCAUUGGCAGAAUCACCCGGAAAAAACAAAAAAUCUUGCCAUUGACAUAUGGGUUUCCGUCCUUCGGGUGAACUCAAAGUCGAUCUCAAGAGAAUAAUGGGAAAAGGAGAAAAAUAGUGAUAAAUGUUCCCCGGGUUCCGCUGGUUUUAAUUAAAACAUUUGUCAUCCCUGAAACUAAUUAGUCAUUACAUAAGAACUUUAUUAUGGCCGCGCCGGAGAAACAUUACCCCGGGUUUUCUGAGCGAAAUUGAAUCUCGAGUAAAUAAUUGUUUAAGUCAGAAUUAAUCACUCCAUAAAUUAUGUAGCCACCGAUGGCUUUAAUGAACUUAUGUUUGUUAAUAAAUGUGUCGAGGUCUUCUCUGCGUUCACACUAACAGGACAAUCGCUUAAUAACUUUAUCGGACACCAAAGUAAAUGAUGCAAUGACUUUAGAUGGGUUAAAAAAAAACAUGUUUCCUAUGCGGGGUGUCUGAGAAUGUCAUGGCUAUUUGGAAGUGAUUGGGUUUUGGUGGUAGGCACCAGAGGACCAAGCAGAUACUGUGGGAUGUGGAUAUGGAUCAAGAGGAAGGUCAGAUGUCCCAAGUUCAGUAAAUGCUAUCAUGGCUCAGUAUGAGGAGCCCCUGGAGUGAUGGUUACCUGCAAUCAUGGCCAGUGGGCAAGUCUUCCAAAGAGAGCCAUACUGCUGAGUGGACCCACGGGUCCCAGGAGAUCCUACGGUAGAGCAAUGUCCAUCAUCGGCACGGACAACCUGGUGAGGACAGGUUGCUAGACAAAGUGUCCAGGGUUGUCCUGCAGAGCCCUUAGGCAAAACCCAAAUUAUCAUCACUGUCAUUUCCCCUUGAAGAAAAUUCCUCGAGAAACUAGGAAGGGAACCACCAUUUGACCCAGCCAGUCCACUCCUCCAUCUAUACCUAAAGGACUUAAAAUCAUCAUGGUAUAAUUACACAGCCACAUCAAAGUUGAUAGCAUCUCAACUCACAAUAGCUGAACUAUGGAACCGACCUAGGUUCCCUUCAGUAGAUGAAUGGAUAAAUAAAAUGUGGUGUAUAC